CCUACGGGAGGCAGCAGUGGGGAAUAUUGGACAAUGGGGGGAACCCUGAUCCAGCCAUGCCGCGUGUGUGAAGAAGGCCCUCGGGUUGUAAAGCACUUUCAGUGAGGAAGAACGCCUGGUGGUUAAUACCCAUCGGGAAAGACAUCACUCACAGAAGAAGCACCGGCUAACUCCGUGCCAGCAGCCGCGGUAAUACGGAGGGUGCGAGCGUUAAUCGGAAUUACUGGGCGUAAAGCGCGCGUAGGUGGCUUGAUAAGCCGGUUGUGAAAGCCCCGGGCUCAACCUGGGAACGGCAUCCGGAACUGUCAAGCUAGAGUGCAGGAGAGGAAGGUAGAAUUCCCGGUGUAGCGGUGAAAUGCGUAGAGAUCGGGAGGAAUACCAGUGGCGAAGGCGGCCUUCUGGACUGACACUGACACUGAGGUGCGAAAGCGUGGGUAGCAAACAGGAUUAGAUACCCCAGUAGUC
rnacentral:rRNA from 1 species